GAUGAACGCUAGCGGCAGGCCUAAUACAUGCAAGCCGAGGGGCAGCACGGUCUUCGGACUGGUGGCGACCGGCGCACGGGUGCGUAACGCGUAUGCAACCUACCCAUCACAGCAGGAUAGCCCGGGGAAACUCGGAUUAAUACUGCAUAACACAUAGAGUUCACAUGGACAUUAUGUUAAAGAUUUAUCGGUGAUGGAUGGGCAUGCGUCUGAUUAGUUAGUUGGUGAGGAAACGGCUCACCAAGACGUCGAUCAGUAGGGGGUCUGAGAGGAUGAUCCCCCACACUGGUACUGAGAUACGGACCAGACUCCUACGGGAGGCAGCAGUAGGGAAUAUUGGGCAAUGGGUGAGAGCCUGACCCAGCCAUGCCGCGUGCAGGAAGAAGGCGUUAUGCGUUGUAAACUGCUUUUGUAAGGGAAGAAAACGUGGGUGCGCCCACAAUUGACGGUACCUUACGAAUAAGCACCGGCUAACUCCGUGCCAGCAGCCGCGGUAAUACGGAGGGUGCAAGCGUUGUCCGGAUUUAUUGGGUUUAAAGGGUACGUAGGCGGAUAUUUAAGUCAGAGGUGAAAGCCUGCGGCUCAACCGUAGAAUUGCCUUUGAUACUGAGCAUCUUGAGUGCAGUAGAGGUAGGCGGAAUUCAUGGUGUAGCGGUGAAAUGCAUAGAUACCAUGAGGAACACCGAUAGGGAAGCCAGCUUACUGGACUGUAACUGACGCUAAGGUACGAAAGCGUGGGGAGCGAACAGGAUUAGAUACCCUGGUAGUCCACGCUGUAAACGAUGCUCACUCGAUGUAUGCGAUACACAGUAUGCGUCCAAGCGAAAGCGUUAAGUGAGCCACCUGGGGAGUACGCCCGCAAGGGUGAAACUCAAAGGAAUUGACGGGGGUCCGCACAAG
rnacentral:rRNA from 1 species